rnacentral:rRNA from 1 species
AUUCCAGCUCCAAUAGCGUAUAUUAAAGUUGUUGCAGUUAAAAAGCUCGUAGUUGAACCUUGGGCAAGACGCAUCAGGUCGACCGUAAGGCCGGACUUGGUCGUCGCGCCUCUGUUGGGGGACUCGUUGCUUCGGCGGCGAGGUAACCUACGUUACUGUGAAGAAAUUAGAGUGUUUAAAGCAGGCGAUCGCUUGAAUACAUCAGCAUGGAAUAACAAGAUAUGACAUAUGUCUUCUUGUUGGUUUGGAUACAAAUGUAAUGAUUAAUAGGGCCAGUUGGGGGCAUUAGUAUUCAGUAGUCAGAGGUGAAAUUCUUGGAUUUACUGAAGACUAACUAGUGCGAAAGCAUUUGCCAAGGAUGUUUUCAUCG